rnacentral:rRNA from 1 species
GAUGAACGCUGGCGGCGUGCUUAACACAUGCAAGUCGAACGAUGAAGCCCAGCUUGUUGGGUGGAUUCGUGGCGAACGGGUGAGUAACACGUGAGUAACCUGCCCUUAACUCUGGGAUAAGCCUGGGAAACUGGGUCUAUUACCGGAUAGGAGCGUCCACCGCACGGUGGGUGUUGGAAAGAUUUAGCGGUUUUGGAUGGACUCGCGGCGUAUCAGCUUGUUGGUGAGGUAAUGGCUCACCAAGGCGCCGACGGGUAGCCGGCCUGAGAGGGUGACCGGCCACACUGGGACUGAGACACGGCCCAGACUCCUACGGGAGGCAGCAGUGGGGAAUAUUGCACAAUGGGCGCAAGCCUGAUGCAGCGACGCCGCGUGAGGGAUGACGGCCUUCGGGUUGUAAACCUCUUUCAGUAGGGAAGAAGCGAAAGUGACGGUACCUGCAGAAGAAGCACCGGCUAACUACGUG